CGCUGGCGGCGUGCCUAACACAUGCAAGUCGAACGAAGAGGCCCCUUCGGGGGUACUUCAGUGGCGGACGGGUGAGUAACACGUAGGUGACCUACCCCAAAGCGGGGAAUAACAGUCCGAAAGGAUUGCUAAUACCCCAUGUGGUCAAUGAGUCUAGAUGCUUGUUGACUAAAGGAGCAAUCCGUUUUGGGAGGGGCCUGCGCCCCAUCAGCUAGUUGGUAGGGUAAUGGCCUACCAAGGCUACAACGGGUAGGGGGCCUGAGAGGGUGACCCCCCCACAUUGGCACUGACACACGGGGCCAAAACUCCUACGGGAGGCAGCAGUGAGGAAUAUUGCUCAAUGGGCGAAAGCCUGAAGCAGCAACGCCGCGUGCGCGAUGAAGGUCUUCGGAUCGUAAAGCGCUUUUGAGAGGGACGAGAUAGGACGGUACCUCUUGAAUAAGUCACGGCUAACUACGUGCCAGCAGCCGCGGUAAAACGUAGGUGGCAAGCGUUAUCCGGAUUCACUGGGCGUAAAGCGAGUGCAGGUGUUG
rnacentral:rRNA from 1 species